UCAGAGUGAACGCUGGCGGCGUGCCUAACACAUGCAAGUCGAGCGAAGCGGCAGCUGUAGCAAUACAGUAUGUGCUUAGCGGCAAACGGGUGAGUAAUACGUAGACAACCAACCUCUUAGAGGGGGAUAGCCUACCGAAAGGUGGGAUAAUACCGCAUAAGAUCACGAUUCGGCAUCGAGUUGUGAUGAAACAUCCGCAAGGAUGGCUAAGAAACGGGUCUAUGGCCUAUCAGCUAGUUGGUGAGGUAAUAGCUUACCAAGGCAACGACGGGUAGCCGACCUGAAAGGGUGACCGGCCACACUGACACUGAGACACGGGUCAGACUCCUACGGGAGGCAGCAGUGAGGAAUUUUGGACAAUGGGGGAAACCCUGAUCCAGCGACGCCGCGUGGAGGACGAAGGUCUUCGGAUUGUAAACUCCUUUUGUCUGGGAACAAGAAACUCGUAGAAAUACGGGGAGUGAGUGUACCAGAUGAAUAAGCCACGGCUAACUUCGUGCCAGCAGCCGCGGUAAUACGAAGGUGGCAAGCGUUACUCGGAAUGACUAGGCGUAAAGGGCAGGUAGGUGGUUUGGUAAGUCUGCUGUGAAAGCUCCCGGCUUAACUGGGAGAGGUCAGCGGAAACUACCGGACUUGAGUGUGGGAGAGGUUACUGGAAUUCCCGGUGUAGCGGUGAAAUGCGCAGAUAUCGGGAGGAACACCAAUGGCGAAAGCAAGUAACUGGACCACUACUGACACUCAGCUGCGAAAGCUAGGGGAGCAAACAGGAUUAGAUACCCUGGUAGUCCUAGCUGUAAACGAUGCACAUUAGACGUGGGGGGUAUCGACCCCCUCCUUGUCGACGCAAACGCAUUAAAUGUGCCGCCUGGGGAGUACGGCCGCAA
rnacentral:rRNA from 1 species